rnacentral:lncRNA from 1 species
GGCCAACCGUGCAAUACAAAAGCUUUACAAUAGCAGUACACGAGCUGUACAAUGUGCAAAGUGCACCGCCGUUGCACAUGACCUGCAGGUUCACAGCUGUGAACCACAGCACUCACUGCUUUCUUCAUACAUUUGAACUAUCCCUGAAUGACAGGUACGAAUUCAUAGCAAAUCCUAACAUGACCGAUGCAACUCAGCCAGCAACUCUUACCAUGGAAAAGGGUCCAACAGUCUAACGUCAGAAAAAAUCGACACACAAAUGUUAAGCGCAUGUAAAUGUACCACAAUACAGCCACUAUUGUCUUCUUAUUAAAGCGCUCAAUCCUCGCCUCCGCUGAUGUCAUCUUCACGAACGACGGCAUAAAUCUGCAUAUGAAAGGAUCACAGCAAAUCAUUGUUUAGGCAGGAACACAUAGUUGUGAGCAUGUUACGUACAAUGACGGCUGUAGGUGUGACACCGGCAUAACGUGCCUCGAAAUAAGGCAAUAAAAAGCAUUUAGUUAAUAGCCAUGGUCGUGCAACCAGAGGCUUCAUACCUCCGAACGGCCGCUACGUGGCAUGCCACGUCCCGUUUGAGCCCGACUCUUGUUCAUAUCCUUACCACCAUCCUUGCGCUUGUCCUAUUCCUUGCGAUUCUCCUGCUCGUGUCCUUGGAAUGNNN